rnacentral:lncRNA from 1 species
CAUGCAUGUGUGUGCCCGUGUGUGUGUGUGUGUGUGUGUGUGUGUUGUGUAGGAGUUGUUCAGUGUGGCUCUGUACCAGAGCUCUUGUACCUGCCAUCAUCAUCUGGCACAACCCAGAGAAUUGCAGGUCUCCCUGCAGACGUAGGCUCAGAGAGGUUGGUGUUCUUGUGCCUCUCAAACCAAGACUUGGAUAGAAUGUUGGUGUUCCAGAAGGGAGCGUUACAUUGGCUUUUAUCACUUGGGAAGGUCUCUCCCCUUAUUUCUGGGGGUAAACUCUUAGCUCUGUGGUUCUGGAAGGAGUGACUGACUCUUACACCUGGGUAUGAACAUAACUUUGCAUUGUGGGUCAUUAUCUGAGAAUGUCAGUGGUUGGAGUCUAGCAUGGGGGCUGCCAUAGUGGUCAUUCAGAACACAAAUCUAACCAGCCGACUUCCCUGCCUCAGUGUUGACCACUGCUCCCUGCUGUCUAUGAAGUAAAGUAGGACAUGCUAAGUUCUUUAAAAUUUGGCUGUGGCCAGGCUUAAAUGUUUUUCCAUUAUUCAUCUCUCAAAACCUCUGCCCCAGUCAACCAAAUUGCAGGGCAUUCUCAGCGGGCAGCAGUUUAUCUUUAUCCAAACCCCUUUGGCCAUUUCUGUAGAAAUUUACAAACGAAUAAGAUGAAAUAUAAAGGGACAAGAACAGUAGCUUAAUCUUCAUAUCAUAAACCUCAUCAAAGCCUUCUUCCUAUCGUACCAGAAGCAAUUUUCAGAUGGUUCAUAGACUGAAAGGUAGAAGCUUCCAGAUGAAAAGAAUGUCUUUUUCAUUUUCUAGGAGGCAAAGAUGUCUUAAAU